GCCUUCUCUCAUGGAGUUAUAUUCUGAUGGGGGAAUGCAGUUUUAUUCAGAUAACAAAACUGGCUGAAAUUGAUUGGAACCAAUAUGGCUGACUACAGUCUAUGCAGAAUGAACUUGCUGACAUCACAGUCCAAAUUCCCGCCACAUGGUUCAUACUAUCUUCUCCUGAAAUUGCAUGUGUGACUCAUGAAGAGGCAUGAAGAGAUAACAGUACAUGCUUGAGGACUCUCCAGACCUCCUCUUUCCCUCCCCCAAUCAUGUACUAAAGCCAGAAUCCACCCUUGAACAUUUUCUAAUAAAAAUACUGCCUUGAAGGUGGCACCAGGAGACAGAUUUGAGCUGGA
rnacentral:lncRNA from 1 species